rnacentral:rRNA from 1 species
AUGUCGGCGUCGCCGUCGAUGAGCGGCGGUGCCGGGGAGCGGACGCGGACGCGGACGGUGGUGUGGUUCAGGCGGGACCUGCGCGUGGAGGACAACCCGGCCCUAGCGGCGGCGGCGCGAACAGCCGGGGAGGUGGUGCCGGCGUACGUGUGGGCGCCGGAGGAGGACGGGCCGUACUACCCUGGGCGGGUGUCCCGGUGGUGGCUCAGCCAGAGCCUCAAGCACCUGGACGCCUCGCUGCGCCGGCUCGGCGCCACCCAUCUCUUCUUCAACCACCUCUACGACCCGCUGUCGCUGGUCCGGGACCACCGGGUGAAGCAAGUGCUGGGGGCCGAGGGCAUCACCGUGCAGUCCUUCAACUCCGACCUGCUCUACGAGCCAUGGGAGGUCCUCGACGACCACGGCUGCCCCUUCACCAUGUUCACGCCCUUCUGGAACAAGUGCCUCUGUAUGGUCGACCCCCCCGCGCCCAUGCUGCCACCCAAGAGGAUCAAUUCAGGUGACUUGUCGAGGUGCUGCUCAUCGGACCAUCUCAUCUUCGAAGACGAGUCGGAGAGGGGGAGCAACGCGCUGCUCGCACGGGCGUGGUCGCCGGGGUGGCAGAACGCCGACAAGGCUUUCACCGCCUUCAUCAACGGCCCGCUCAUCGACUACUCCGUGAACCGCAAGAAGGCCGACAGUGCAAACACCUCACUGCUCUCUCCCUACCUGCACUUUGGCGAGCUCAGCGUCCGCAAGGUCUUCCAUCAGGUACGGAUGAAGCAGCUAACGUGGAGCAACGAGAGCAACCGCGACGGCGAGGAGGGCUGCAGCCUCUUCCUCCGCUCCAUCGGCCUGCGAGAGUACUCCAGGUACCUCGCCUUCAACCACCCCUGCAGCCACGAGAAGCCCCUCUUGGCUCAUCUCAGGUUCUUCCCCUGGGUGGUCAAUGAGGUCUACUUCAAGGUCUGGAGGCAGGGUAGGACCGGCUACCCUCUUGUCGACGCCGGCAUGAGGGAGCUUUGGGCCACCGGCUGGCUGCAUGACCGCAUACGUGUCGUCGUCUCAAGCUUCUUCGUCAAGGUUCUCCAGCUGCCAUGGCGCUGGGGGAUGAAGUACUUCUGGGACACCUUGCUGGACGCCGACCUUGAGAGCGACGCGUUGGGCUGGCAGUACAUCUCCGGGUCUCUGCCUGAUGGCCGUGAGCUCGACCGCAUUGACAACCCGCAGUUUGAAGGCUACAAGUUCGACCCAUACGGGGAGUACGUCCGGCGAUGGCUGCCGGAGCUGGCGAGGCUACCAACGGAAUGGAUACACCACCCCUGGGAUGCACCCGAGUCUGUGCUGCAGGCUGCAGGAAUUGAGCUAGGUUCCAAUUACCCUCUCCCCAUUGUUGAGCUAGAUGAAGCCAAAUCCAGAUUGCAGGACGCCCUGUCAGAGAUGUGGGAGCUUGAGGCAGCCUCUCGUGCUGAGAUAGAGAAUGGAAUGGAGGAAGGCCUGGGAGACUCCUCAGACGAGCCGCCCAUUGCCUUCCCCCAAGAGCUGCAGCAUAUGGAAGUGGACCUGGACCGUGCCACUAUCCACACACCAGCGACGGCUGGCCGGAGACGAGCAGAUCAGAUGGUGCCUAGCAUCACCUCUUCCUUGGUCAGAGCUGAAACAGAAACAGAACUUUCCGCAGCUUUUGAAAGCCAAGUGACUAGGCCGGAGGUGCCAUCACAGGUGCAUUUCCAGCCUCAGACUCGGACGGAAAUCAGGGAUGAAGUUGCCAGCUACGGCACUGCUGCCAGAUACAACGGCGUCCAGCAGCAGCAGCAGCAGUAUACCCUACACCAUCACCGUGUGCAGGGCGGCAUAGCACCAUCCACUUCAGAGGCAUCAAGCAGCUGGACUGGGAGAGAAGGUGGGGUAGUACCCGUUUGGUCGCCUCCGGCUGCGUCAGGCCAUUCAGAUCCCUACGCUGCGGAUGAAUUGGAAUCAGCUCUCCCAGUCAUCGUGACCUCAGAUGCAUGCUGGAUGAGACAACAGCGGGCUGCCAAGUGGAAAACUUUUGCCCAGAUGCAUGAACGAAUUUAA